rnacentral:rRNA from 1 species
CAUAUAACUAAGCGGUGGAAAAGAAACUAACUAGGAUUCCCCCAGUAACGGCGAGUGAAGCGGGAAGAGCUCACGUUUGGAAUCUGGCCCCUCCUGGGGCCGGAAUUGUAGCCUGGAGAGGCGAGGCCAGCUUGGAGGACUGCGGCGAAGUCCGAUUUGAAAAGGGUAUCAAGGAGGGUGGCAGUCCCGUUCAUGCCGCAGACCUCCCUGCUAGGGGUCCGCUUUCUACGAGUCGAGUUGCUUGGGAUUGCAGCUCAAAUUGGGUGGUAAACCCCAUCCAAAGCUAAAUACGGGUUGGAGACCGAUAGUGAACAAGUACCGUGAGGGAAAGAUGCAAAGAACUUUGAAAAGAGAGUCAAAGAGUGCCUGAAAUUGCUGAGAGGGAAGCGAAGGAAAGUAGUGACGUUUGGCGGGAUCUAGGUGAACCUUUUGCCAUUAUCCCCCUCUCGACGUCAGGGCCGGGUGAGGCUGCGGGAUCGCUGCUCUGGCGGGCAGGUAGGCCGAGGUUACAGCCGGCCGAUAGCACGCUGAGCAUCGCCGCGGCCGCGGCCGUCCCUGACAAAAUGCUUUUCUUUACCCCGUCUUGAAACACGGACCAAGGAGUCUAACAUGCCCGCGAGUACAGGGGUGGCUAAGACCCCCGUGCGCAGUGAAAGUGAAUGAAGGUGGGAAGGCAAAACUGCACCAUCGACCGACCGGUCCAAAAACCUACGGGGGCGAAGGUUUGAGUGUGAGCGUGCAUGUUGGGACCCGAAAGAUGGUGAACUAUGCCUGAGUAGGGCGAAGCCAGGGGAAACUUUGGUGGAGGCUCGUAGCGAUUCUGACGUGCAAAUCGAUCGUGAGAUUUGGGUAUAGGGGCGAAAGACUAAUCGAACCAUCUAGUAGCUGGUUCCCUCCGAAAUUUCCCUCAGGAUAGCUGCAACCUACUAAUAACCAGUUUUAUCAGGUAAAGCGAAUGAUUAGAGGCUGCGGGGGAGUAACUCCCUCGCCCUAUUCUCAAACUUUAAAUGGGUAAGCAAUGGGCGUCGCUUCGGUGGACGUUYUGAAAAAGGAAUGGAGGUUGCUAGUGGGCCAGUCCGGGUAAGCUGGACUGGCGAUGCGGGAUGAACCGAACGCCUAGUUAAAGCGCCUCACUGCCCGCUCACCUAGAUCCCACAAAA